rnacentral:rRNA from 1 species
UACAGGGGGUGCAAACGUUGCUCGGAAUUAUUGGGCGUAAAGCGCACGUAGGCGGUUCGUUAUGUCAGAUGUGAAAGCCCUUGGCUCAACUGAGGAAGUGCAUCUGAAAACUGGCGAGCUAGAGUAUGUAAGAGGGUCGCGGAAUUCCCGGUGUAGAGGUGAAAUUCGUAGAUAUCGGGAGGAACACCGGUGGCGAAGGCGGCGACCUGGGACGAAUACUGGACGCUGAGGUGACGAAAGCGUGGGGAGCAAACAGG